rnacentral:rRNA from 1 species
GAUGAACGCUAGCGGCAGGCUUAAUACAUGCAAGUCAAAGGGGUAGCAAUACCACUGGCGUACGGGUGCGUAACACGUAUGCAACCUACCUGUCAUUGGGGGAUAACCCCGCGAACGCGGGGCUAAUCCCGCAUAAAAUAGCAGAGGGGCAUCCCUUAACUAUUAAAGAUUUAUUGAUGACAGAUGGGCAUGCUUUAGAUUAGGUACUUGGCUAGGUAACGGCUCACCAAGCCUGCGAUCUAUAGGGGCUCUGAGAGGAGAAUCCCCCACACUGGCACUGAGAUACGGGCCAGACUCCUACGGGAGGCAGCAGUAGGGAAUAUUGGGCAAUGGGCGAAAGCCUGACCCAGCCAUGCCGCGUGCAGGAAGAAUGCCCUCUGGGUUGUAAACUGCUUUUUUGGGGAAAGAAAAAGCUCUUUGCGAAGAGCCUUGACGGUACCCUAAGAAUAAGCCACGGCUAACUACGUGCCAGAAGCCGCCGU